GCAGCCAUCUUUUCGCUCAUUCAUCAGUUUUCUCUCGUCGUGAAUGGAUCGUCGUCCGGUUUCUCCCUGAUUAUGUGCGGAAAAGUGCCCUCAAUACCACCAUCAGCAGCACCAGUAGCAGCCGCAGCAGCAAUAGUGACCAGAAGCAGUCCCAGCACCGCCAUUGCAGUUCUACUCGCGACGAGCCGUUUUUAGUUUUUUCUUUUGUUUCGGUUUUGAGUUGAGUUUCUCUUUCGGCCGUUCCGUCCCGCGCUACCGGUUCCGGAUGAAAACGCGGUGUAAAAGUCACGCCAGUCCCUUUCCCAACGUUUCGGUCAGUAAUGUAACAGCCAUCGCGAGGGGUGCAUAAGGAAGAAGAGGCAGAGCGAAAUUAAAAGAAGAAGUGCGGUCGGUCUGACUGCCUGUGCGUGAGUGUGUGUGUGUGUGCGUGUGCGAGCGAGAACGAGAGAGACGGACUCGAGGCGAAAACGAUCGAGAGGGAGAAGAGUAAAACCGGGCGAAGGCGAAAAUCAGUAGGAGGAGAGAGAGGAAGAAGAAGGCACCACCGUGGAGAAGCUAAAGUCGUUCUGGGUGUGCAAUUUCCGUGCGAGAGGAAAAUUUUUACUUUAUUGGUUUAUUUAUUUUAAUAAUGAGUGAUUACUCAAACCAGAACUCGCAAAAUUUUAGUCAAUCGUCAGCAUUUGCAGCCGCUUUACAGAGAGCCAAACAAAUUGCAGCUAAAAUACACCCGGGUGGUGGCCAACCGGGAAAGAGAUCGCUAGAGGACGACUCCGGACCAGAAUCAAAAAAGUUUGGUGGACAGUCUGACUUCAACAAUGCCAACUCGCCGACUGGCAUGAGCCCAGCUGCUAUGCAAGCCGCUGCUCAAGCUGCUGCCGUUGCCGCCCGUCUGCAAAUUAACAACAGUAACAACACCAACAACAGCAACAACAACAACUCGAACGCGAACGCGAACCCAGGAGGACAGGAUCCAGUCCAGAGAGCACGUGACCUUAUUAGCAAAAUGGUGAACCAACAGGGAGGUGGUGGCCACAACGGCCCAAUGGACAAUGGAAACCACGGAGGAGGCGGCGGUGGCCGCGGAGGUGGCGGAGGCGGGGGUGGAGGUUUCGGAUUCACCCAGCAGCCGUACCAGGAGAUUAUGAUCCCGGGAUCGAAGGUGGGACUGAUCAUUGGGAAGGGGGGAGAAACGAUCAAACAGUUGCAGGAGAAAUCCGGCGCCAAGAUGGUCAUCAUUCAGGAUGGCCCCGGCCAGGAGAUGGAAAAGCCGCUGCGUAUUUCGGGCGAUGCCCAGAAAGUGGAGCACGCCAAGCAGCUGGUGUACGAUCUGAUCCAGGAGAAGGACAAUUACACACAGCGACAGAACAACACCCAGAAUGGCAGUGAACAGGCCGAGGUGUUUGUGCCCAAGUCGGCGGUCGGUGUCGUCAUCGGCAAGGGCGGUGACAUGAUCAAGAAGAUUCAGGGCGAAUCGGGCUGCAAGCUGCAGUUCAUCCAGGGCCGAGGAGAUGGUCCCGGUGAUCGGCGCUGCAUCGUCCAGGGCUCGCGGGCUCAGGUCGAGGAGGGAAAACGGAUGAUUGAGGAGUUGAUCGAGAGCGUGCAGCGACGCGAACAGGGCGGCGGUGGCCGUGGAGGUCGCGGAGGUGAGCGUGAAGAUCGUGGUGAUCGAGGCGAGCGGCCGCACCGAGGUGGACGUGACCAGCACGACAAUGGCAACGGCGGUGGGUACGGAGGAGGCGGUGGAGGGCAGGACUAUGGGGGACCUCAGGUGACCCGCGAAGAGUACACUUUCGCCGUGCCCGUUAACAAGUGUGGCAUCAUCAUUGGCCGCGGUGGAGACACCAUCAAGCAGAUCAACCAACAGUCCGGAGCGCACACCGAAAUGGACCGCAAGGCGUCGGCGAAUCAGACGACGGAGAAGACGUUCACCUGCAAGGGCGAACCGCACCAGAUCGAGGAGGCCAAGCGGUUGAUCCAGGACAAGAUCAACAUGGAAAUCAACAUGCAGUACGUGGGCAGCUCGACGGGUCCGGCCCAGCAGUACCAGAACAAUGGCGGCGGCGGUGGCCAAGGUGGAUACGGUCAAAGCUGGGGUGGCGGCGGUGGCGGUGGAUACGGCCAGCAGCAGCAAUCCUGGGAUCAACAGCAGCCGUCACAACCGGGUGCCCCGUCGGCACCUGGUCCCCAGCAGCCCGGACAGGCGGGGGGUGCCGGUCAGGCGGACUACUCGCAACAGUGGAUCGAGUACUACCGACAAAUGGGAAUGCACCGCGAGGCAGAGAUGAUCGAGCAACAGGUCAAGGCACGCCAAGCUGCUGCCCAGCAGGGAGCACCCGCAGCAGCGAUCCAAACCACCCAAGCUAAUCAAACUGUCCAAGGUACAUCAGUGGUGGCAGCGAGCAACGCCGGUCCGCAACAGGCCGCGGCCGGAGGUGGUCCCCAGGGUGGUGGCGGAAGCGGUGGCCAGGCCGAUUACAGCGCCGAGUGGGCCGAGUACUACCGAAGGCUCGGUAGGGUCGAGGAGGCCGAAGCGAUCGAGAAGCAGAUCGCGCACAACAAGGCUCUGCAGGGACAGGGUGGCGGCGCCGGAGGUCCUGCGGGCGGAGCCGGCGGUAAUCCCCAGCUAGCGGCUCAACAGGCCGCAGCUGCCGCCGGUUACGGAGCGGCGGCAGCCCAGCAGUAUCAGCAGUACUACGCGGGGGCGGCGGCCGCUGCAGCAGCCGGUGGUCAACCCGGGGGCGGAUACCAGGGCUAUCCGUACGGUGGCGGGUACCCGGGCGGACAGCAGGGUGGCCAGGACAAGAACUAGGCCACCACAGGCGGACGCUGGAUGACCUCCCCCACCCUAACCACCCACCCACCCACACAAACACACACGCGCACCGACGAGAGACGACACCCCGUAAUCAGCUAAGAUAAUGAUUGCUUUAUAACCAUAUGUACCAACUAUUGAACACAUUUAACAACAUUAGCGUUGAAGCUAUGUAGGACAAAUAAAACAAAACAGAACUAGGAUCAAACACAGCUUGAUAGCCGAAAGAAGAGAAGAAGAAGAUGAAGAUGCAAAACUAAACUAAACCUAGUUGUAUAACCAAGUAAAUCAAGAGAUAAAAACAUUUAACUUAACUUAUAACAACAAAAAAACCGGAAUGAAAACAAGAAACAAGAGAACAAAAACUGAGAGUACAGCAAAA